rnacentral:lncRNA from 1 species
UCAUAUACAACUAUUUAUAGAGAGAGAGCACUGAAAGUAAAAGCUACUACCCCACACUACUUUUUUUAUCCUUCACUCAAAUAUAACAAACUACCCCAUGUGCUCACAUGGUCACUCAAAUAUACUACCUACUAGAAUAUACUAAUUAUUCCUUUGCUGCCCAAAAUACCCUCUGCCUGACAUUCCCUCCUCACAAGCAUCCAUGUCCUCAUUGAUAUUGCUGAUUUUCUGCUUUCCAAUCUUGGUAGUUUUCACCACCUUUCAAGUGUCAAAAACAAAACUCGGGAACUUGUUUAGUUGAAUCUUUCCAUAGCAAUUCUUUGAAACUUCUGCCUUCUCAUAUUCCUUAGUAUCAAAAGUUAACACCAACAACUUCAUAUUUUAAUUUAGUGUAACUUUUCCAUUGCAAAAACUUGUCUCAGUAUUAUCUUUAGCAUGCCUUGAGUUCUUGAAUUUAUUUUCCUUCUAAUACAGCCACCAUUGGUACUUGUUGGUCUCUGGCUUACCAAUACCACUAGCAAGAUAGCUUAACCCCUUAUGAGUCCAGUAAGACAAAGGAACAUGGUGGAAUUUAACCCAAACUGGGGCUAAAGUACAAGACUCCGAAAGAAUUCUUUACAUUUUUGAAUUAUCAGAAGUUUAUUGGAAAUAUACCAUGGCCCUAACUAAUGCCAAAACAUUAUCCCUCUCAGCAGCAGAAGAAAAUUUGAAUACAUACCUUUGUCUUGAAGGAAGAUCUUUUGAAGUCCAUAUUUAUCCCACAUUUUGUGGACAAUAUCUGCUACCAGCUUAAAAGGCAGACGAGAAUGCAGGAACCCCCAAUAAAACAGAAAUUCGAUAAACAAUCCCCUGAUCCAGAAUCUCAACCGGAGGCUUGAUAGUAAUGGAACCCCUAUCCGAAUCGGGGGGAGGGAAAUAAGGCUUUUGCUCACCUUGAGCA